rnacentral:rRNA from 1 species
GAUGAACGCUAGCGGCAGGCUUAACACAUGCAAGUCGAGGGGUAUAGGGAGCUUGCUUCCUAGAGACCGGCGCACGGGUGCGUAACGCGUAUGCAAUCUACCUUUUGCAGAGGGAUAGCCCAGAGAAAUUUGGAUUAAUACCUCAUAGUAUAGCAGUUUCGCAUGAAACCACUAUUAAAGUCACAACGGCAAAAGAUGAGCAUGCGUCCCAUUAGCUUGUUGGUAAGGUAACGGCUUACCAAGGCAACGAUGGGUAGGGGUCCGUGAGAGGGAGAUCCCCCCACACUGGUACUGAGACACGGACCAGACUCCUACGGGAGGCAGCAGUGAGGAAUAUUGGACAAUGGGCGCAAGCCUGAUCCAGCCAUGCCGCGUGCAGGAAGAAGGUCCUAUGGAUUGUAAACUGC